rnacentral:rRNA from 1 species
AUGCGGAAGGGCCCGUCGCGGUCGGGGUCGGCGCGGCACCAGCAGUUCCGCGCCCGUGCCAAGACCCGCGUCGACGACCUCCAGGACAUGUUCUCCGGCCUCCAGUACGCCCGCAAGGAGGCCCGCUCCACCGACGCCGUCCUCCUCGAGGCCCAGCUCCACCAGAUGCUCCGCGAGUGGCGCGCCGAGCUCAGCGUCCCGUCCCCCGCCUCCUCCCUCCAGGCAGGGAACAACAACCGGGACCCGUCGGAUCCGCCGUCCGAGACACCGCGGCCGCCGCAGCUGGCGCCGGCCGAGGAGGAGGACGACGCCACCAGCAAGCUCGUCGAGCAGAAGCCCCGGCCGUCCGCUAAUCAGACUCACAAGCACCCGCGGGGAGACCAGGACAUGAAGCCGGAGCCGCGCGAGGAAGCGAUCGCGCAUCCAGUGACGGUGGCGCAGCAGCCGCCGUCGCUGGGUCCGGGAGUCAUCACCACUCCAGCUAGUGCCGGGUUCCACGAUCAGAUGUACUAUGUGAACCAGGAGCUUAGUGUUGAGGAUUUUCUUUACGACGAUGAUUACAAGAUAAACCUUCCUGGGUCCAAUCCAGAAAUCCUCAAUAACCUUGAAGGGAUUGGUCAUCAAGAAUAUCUGCAGUUCAAUUUGCCACAAGAGUUGCCCCCUAAUGCAUAUCUUGAUAUGAACAACUAUGGGCAGAAUGCUGGAGAUGGUUUCCUCCACAUGUCAGACUUGCUCACAACAAUGUCUCCAGCACCUGCUUCAUUUCUGAGGCCAAAGUGCGCUCUCUGGGACUGCCCUCGUCCUGCUCAAGGAUCUGAAAGCUGGCAAGAUUACUGCAGCAUGUACCAUGCUGAAUUGGCCGUGAAGGAAGAGGGCCCUCCAGGCACAAUGCCUGUGAUCCGCCCGAGAGGUAUUGAUCUAAAAGAUGGCCCUUUGUUUGCUGCUCUUAGUGCGAAAAUCCAAGGAAAGCAUGUCGGUGUUCCUGUCUGUGAAGGGGCUGCAACUACGAAGUCCCCUUGGAAUGCACCUGAACUUUUCGACCUUUACAUCUUUGAAGGUGAAUCUAUGAGAGAAUGGCUUUUCUUUGACAAACCAAGAAGGGCAUUCGACAGUGGAAACCGGAAGCAAAGGUCACUGCCAGAUUACAACGGCCGUGGCUGGCAUGAAUCAAGGAAGCAGGUGAUGAAAGACUUUGGGGGUCUAAAGAGGUCAUACUACAUGGAUCCACAGCCAUCCAGCAGCUACGAAUGGCACCUCUAUGAGUACGAGAUCAAUGACCGCGACGCUUUUGCCUUAUACCGGCUCGAAUUCAAGUCUUCGGAAGCAAAGAAGAGUGCUAAGUCAAAAUUCACUUGCAGUCCACUGAUUGAAAUCCAGCAGCAAAUGGUCAGGCUGAGCGCAGACGGUCACGUGGAGAACAAGCGGACUGCCCGUGUGCGGACACAGGAUGUCAGCACAAACAUCUACCCGGUUCAGAACAACACGGCUCAGGCCAGUGCUCCGGACGCUUACCAGGCAGCGUCGCAGGUGGACCAGAUGACGUUUUUGAACGGCAGUGUUGUUUAUGGGCCUCAUCUCCCAUAUGGCUACUCGACCGAAGGAGGUGACUUCUAUUGGAACUCAAAUGACGGGGCUUGA